CCUACGGUGGGCAGCAGUGCGGAAUAUUGGUCAAUGGGCGCUAGCCUGACCCAGCCACGUAGCGUGAAGGAUGACUGCCCUCUGGGUUGUAAACUUCUUUUAUAUGGGAAUAAAGUGCAGUAUGUAUACUGCUUUGCAUGUACCUUAUGAAUAAGGAUCGGCUAACUCCGUGCCAUCAGACGCGGUAAUACGGAGGAUCCGAGCGUUAUCCGGAUUUAUUGUGUUUAAAGGGAGCGUAGGCGGGUUUUUAAGUCAGUUGUGAAAGUUUGCGGCUCAACCAUAAAAUUGCAGUUGAUACUGGCAUUCUUGAGUACAGGAGAGGUAGGCGGAAUUCGUGGUGUAGCGGUGAAAUGCUUAGAUAUUACGAAGAACUCCGAUGGCGAAGGCAGCCUGCUGGACUGUAACUGACGCUGAUGCUCGAAAGUGUGGGUAUCAAACAGGAUUAGAUACCCUAGUAGUC
rnacentral:rRNA from 1 species